CGUAGGUGGCAGGCGUUGUCCGGAAUUAUUGGGCGUAAAGCGCGCGCAGGCGGUCCUUUAAGUCUGAUGUGAAAGCCCACGGCUCAACCGUGGAGGGUCAUUGGAAACUGGGGGACUUGAGUACAGAAGAGAAGAGUGGAAUUCCACGUGUAGCGGUGAAAUGCGUAGAGAUGUGGAGGAACACCAGUGGCGAAGGCGACUCUUUGGUCUGUAACUGACGCUGAGGCGCGAAAGCGUGGGGAGCAAACAGGAUUAGAUACCCUGGUAGUCCACGCUGUAAACGAUGAGUGCUAAGUGUUAGAGGGUUUCCGCCCUUUAGUGCUGUAGCUAACGCAUUAAGCACUCCGCCUGGGGAGUACGGCCGCAAGGCUG
rnacentral:rRNA from 1 species